CUUGGCAGGGAGGGUCCCUCAGCCCGGAUUGUGAGAGGGUGCAGGCCAGGCCAAGGGACCCUGCUGGUGCAUG
rfam:Myotis brandtii contig285386, whole genome shotgun sequence.